rnacentral:rRNA from 1 species
AUUGAACGCUGGCGGCAUGCUUUACACAUGCAAGUCGAACGGUAACAGGCCUUCGGGUGCUGACGAGUGGCGAACGGGUGAGUAAUGCAUCGGAACGUGCCCAGAGGUGGGGGAUAACGCAGCGAAAGCUGUGCUAAUACCGCAUGUGAUCUGAGGAUGAAAGCGGGGGACCAGGCAGCAAUGUUUGGCCUCGCGCCUUUGGAGCGGCCGAUGUCAGAUUAGGUAGUUGGUGGGGGAAAGGCCUACCAAGCCGACGAUCUGUAGCUGGUCUGAGAGGACGACCAGCCACACUGGGACUGAGACACGGCCCAGACUCCUACGGGAGGCAGCAGUGGGGAAUUUUGGACAAUGGGCGCAAGCCUGAUCCAGCAAUGCCGCGUGCGGGAAGAAGGCCUUCGGGUUGUAAACCGCUUUUGUACGGAACGAAAAGGCUCUGGCUAAUACCUGGGGCUGAUGACGGUACCGUAAGAAUAAGCACCGGCUAACUACGUG